AUAGUUGCGGGAUUCAUGCGUGCAGACGUAGAAAUGGUAUGGGGAUGUGCAGUGACCCUUUUUAGCUAAAAGCCCACAGGACAGAAAUCGAGAUCAAGAGGGAGGCUGACACAACAACAAAGACAAUCCAAAUGUGACUAGAGCAAACAACCUUGUACUAGACCUCCAGUACUGGUUAUUUUUGGAAAUUUGACGUUCCCAGCACGAGAAUCCCUUCCCAAUCGAGAAAGGCAGAUAUUUUGCGGCUUUUGUACAUCCACCACGUCGGAUUGAAGUGUCGGAUUUUUGUCUCCAUUGUCAUCGCUACCCUCGCAGCUGAUUUUUAGCCAAUCGUCUCGCCCCUCCCACUCCUGCACCAUGUUUUGUUGACCUCGAGGAUUGCAUCGUAUUGUACUGUUGUUAAAUUAAUCGAGAAAUGUAGCAAUUUUGAAGAACUUUUUUCAAGUAGUUAUUCUGUUGUAACCAUAUCAGCAAUUUUGUAGUGUGGUUCGAUCCUGUCGUCAGUUUUGUGUAAGGUCAAAUCAACAAAAGGGCAAAAAAGGAAAAAGAUAGUUGUAGUAAUAGCAAUUAGGUGCGAGUAUCAAUACACGGUCAGCACGAAAAGAAAAAAAACAAUACCAACGUGCAGAUCCGUUGUAGUCUAGGUGGUUAGGAUACUCGGCUCUCACCCGAGAGACCCGGGUUCAAGUCCCGGCAACGGAAGAUCAUUUUUUCAAAGGACAGAAUAGAGUUUUGCUACCCG